rnacentral:rRNA from 1 species
AUGAGGCAACAAUUUUUUCUUCCUUACUAUCGUCGUGAAUUGCUUCGCAAAUUGGAACAAUUAAAACAAGGCAGUAACACUGUUCAUGCUUACUACCAAGAGUUCAAAUCUUAUAUGCAUCAUUGUGACAUGGAAGAAUCUGAGGAUGAUACAAUGAAUAGAUUUUUUGGUGGUUUGAACCAUGAUAUUCGUGCAAGAUUUCAGUAUAUUCCUCAUUGUAUUACUGGUAUGUAUGUUCGUGCUUGUACCUUUAAGAGACAAAUACAGGAGGAUGCAUUGGGUGACAACAACUACUACUAUUCCAGUUCAUGCUCACCACCGCCGGUUGGUUCCUCCACCUUUGCACCUACUAGAGCAGCCUCACCUCGGAUUGUGAGCGCGACAUUAUCUCAAGAGUAUGGUACAUUGUCAACGUCCGUACCUACAUCAGCUACGUCUUUGCGACAAGGUAACAAUAAAGGUAUUGAUGAUAUAACUUCACAUGAGAAUGAUGCAUGCCUAGUUAAUUUGAAUGCAUCAUGUGUUGAGUUACUUGUUGAUUUGAGCACACCGCCUAUUUUAGAGAAUCUUGUUACUGUCAUGAAUGAGUCAUGUGAUCAAAUAAAUGAAAUACCAACAAUUUUGAGUGCACCCAUUGAAUUAACUGUUGAUACAAAAAAAGCAAUGUUUAAUCAUUUUGAUAUGACCUCUAAUCUUGGUGAUGAUUCUAUGUCCAAUGACUUAUUGCAUGUUUGCUUAUUUAAGCAUGUUGUACCAUGUAAAUUUGAUGCAAGUAAGGUUUAUUCACCAAUGUUGGGAUGGUUUAAUGAUGAACAUUGUCAAUCUUUUGAAAUGAAUAAGAGCUUCACUUAUAUGUGCAAACUGAGUUGCAAUAUUUUCAUACCUUCUACUUCUUGUGAUAAUUUUUUGGCUAUAUAUUUUAUGAACUAUGAAAGUUACUCAUGUAUACAUGUGUCAUAUGUGCAAAAAUCAAGGGAAGUAAAAAUGGAUGACAUAUACAUACACAACAUGUACACCUUGUCUCUUUUGUUAGCCACAUUUCAGAUUAAGCAACGCCGAGGAUGGCUUUGUUUUCAAGAAGGGGAGGAUGAUGAGGACAUUACUACCUUGGAUACGACCAAAAAUAUUGCAUACAUGCAUAUUUGUCAGGUGAUUUCUAGUGCAAACUAUUCAAUGAUCUAUUUAUGUUAUUCAGAACAAAAAUACUUCACACACUUUUGUGUUUUGUCUAAUUGUAGGUGUAUGAGACAUUUGUACAAUCCACAUAUGAAAAUAAGGGAAAAUGAGAAGUUUAGGUUCUAUUCAAAAAGUCCUCUCACGUCACUUUUGGGCCAAGAGAAGAUAGAGUCCAAGUCUCUCACGUUUUGGAUUCAGAUUCGGACUGCACAAACAUACCUGACUCAAAAACGUCAACAACGUUUUCAUACGGACUCCAAAUUGGGUGAUUCUUUUUUUGUUGGAAAGUAG